rnacentral:lncRNA from 1 species
CCCUGCCCAGCACCCACCAGAGAGUAUUCUGGAGCAUAUGCUGACUCAAAGAAUGGAACCAUGAUGUACACACUCCCGUAUUCCAGGGUACCUGCUAUACAUAGCCUGUUUCAGGGCCUCUAACCCCCUCUUCUGGCCUCCAAAGGCACCAGGCAUGCAUGUGAUGCCCAGACAUACAUGUAGACAGAACACCCAUACACAUUAACAAAUUAGGUAAGUCUAAAAAAUUUUAAAAAAUUGUUGUGAGCUCCUCCAUCUGUGCUUGCUGAUCAGUUAAGUGCUCUCUCAUGACGCGUUCGCUGCUGCCAGUCGCUCAUUUUCCUGCUGGGUUGUUUGCUUGCUUUUUAAUCUACUUAUAAAACCCUCUUAUUUGCUAUUACUUCUAAUUAUCCAUUUCUCCUGUUCAAGUUUGUACAUUUGUCUACUUAAAAAGUAUUUUAUUUUACUUUAUGUGCAAGGGUGUUUUGCCUGUAUGUUUGUCUGUCUACCAUGUAG